rnacentral:lncRNA from 1 species
AAAAAUCUCGGGCGUAUGUUAUUCUUGCAACUUCCUGAAUGGUCUGAGGAUUUGCAGGAAUGGAAUAGAGAAAUGCAUAUUAAAUGUACUUAUAAUGGUGUUCAAUUAUCAGAAACAGAAUUUCCACAAAAUUGGUUGAGCGAUGGGAUUCAGAUCAAAAUUUUAUUUCCUUUUUGUCUGAAACCUUGGCAUAUAUCUAAACUGCACCCCUCCCGCGUAGAGCUGAUGAAAAAGAAAAAACAAAAAGAUGAUUUUUGUUUUUUAACAGUUUUGGGAAUGGAAGCUGAACUUCCCUUUGGUUCUCCCCGAAAGCGCCCUUCCUUUUUUGAGCCCAUUUUUAAGGAACUCGAAAAAAAAAUUGGAAAAUUUAAAAAGAAAUAUUUUAUAACUUUUAUAACUAUAACUCGAAAAGUUUUAAAAGGAAAAACAAAAUUAUUUCGAAGAGUUUCAAAAGAAACCAAAAAAUGGCUUAUAAAAAAUAUUCUAUUUCUAAAAAAAAUAAAAAAAGAACUUUCAAACAUAAAUCCAAUUGUAUUAUUUAGAUUCAAAGAAAUAUCUGAAUCGAAUGAAACGAAAAAAGAAAAAGAUUAUCUAAUUAGUAAUCAAAUAAUUAACGAAUCAUUUAGUCAAAUUGAAUCUGGAAAUUGGCCAAAUUCUUCACUGAUAGAAACCAAAAUGAAGGAUUUGACUGAUAGAACAAGUACAAUAAAAAAUCAAAUAGAAAGAAUUACAAAAGAGAAAAAGAAAGUAACUCCAGAAAUAGACAUUAGUCCUAAAUCGCCAAAAAAUAUUUUCCAAAUAUUAAAAAAAAGAAAUACUCGAUUAAUAUGUCAAUUCCAUUAUUUUAGAAAAUUAUUCAUUCAAAGAUUAUACAUCGAUCUAUUUUUAUCUAUCAUUAAUAUUACAAGAAUUAAUACACAACUCCGUCUUAAAUCAACAAAGAAAUUGAUUGAGAAAUACAUUUCCAAUAAUGAAAUAAAUCAAGAAAAAAUUAAUAAUAAAAACUUCAAUUAUCAGAAACAGAAUUUCCACAAAAUUGGUUGAGCGAUGGGAUUCAGAUCAAAAUUUUAUUUCCAUUUUGUCUGAAACCUUGGCAUAUAUCUAAAUUGUACCCCUCCCGUGUAGAGCUGAUGAAAAAGAAAAAACAAAAAAGAUGAUUUUUGUUUUUUAACAGUUUUGGGAAUGUAAGCUGAACUUCCCUUUGGUUCUCCCCGAAAGCGCCCUUCCUUUUUUGAGCCCAUUUUUAAGGAACUCGAAAAAAAAAUGGAAAAUUUAAAAAGAAAUAUUUUAUAACUUUUAUAACUAUAACUCGAAAAGUUUUAAAAGGAAAAACAAAAUUAUUUCGAAGAGUUUCAAAAGAAACCAAAAAAUGGCUUAUAAAAAAUAUUCUAUUUCUAAAAAAAAUAAAAAAAGAACUUUCAAACAUAAAUCCAAUUGUAUUAUUUAGAUUCAAAGAAAUAUCUGAAUCGAAUGAAACGAAAAAAGAAAAAGAUUAUCUAAUUAGUAAUCAAAUAAUUAACGAAUCAUUUAGUCAAAUUGAAUCUGGAAAUUGGCCAAAUUCUUCACUGAUAGAAACCAAAAUGAAGGAUUUGACUGAUAGAACAAGUACAAUAAAAAAUCAAAUAGAAAGAAUUACAAAAGAGAAAAAGAAAGUAACUCCAGAAAUAGACAUUAGUCCUAAAUCGCCAAAAAAUAUUUUCCAAAUAUUAAAAAAAAGAAAUACUCGAUUAAUAUGUCAAUUCCAUUAUUUUAGAAAAUUAUUCAUUCAAAGAUUAUACAUCGAUCUAUUUUUAUCUAUCAUUAAUAUUACAAGAAUUAAUACACAACUCCGUCUUAAAUCAACAAAGAAAUUGAUUGAGAAAUACAUUUCCAAUAAUGAAAUAAAUCAAGAAAAAAUUAAUAAUAAAAACAAAAUUAACUUUAUCUUUAUUUCGACUAUAAAAAAGUCACUUUAUAAUAUUUAUAAUAUUAGUAAGAAAAAUUCACAUAGUUUUUUUGAUUUAUCCUACUUGUCACAAGCAUAUGUAUUUUACAAAUUAUCACAAACCCAAGUUAUUAAUUUGUCUAAAUUUAAAUCUGUUCUUCAAUAUAACAGAACGUCUUUUUUCCUUAAGACUAAAAUAAAGGACUAUUUUAGAACACUAGGAAUAUUUCAUUCUGAAUUAAAACAUAAAAAACCUCAGAGUUAUAGAAUCAAUCAAUGGAAAAACUGGUUAAGACGGCAUUAUCAAUACGAUUUAUCUAAGAUUAGAUGGUCUAGAUUAAUGCCAAAAAAAUGGAGAACUGGGGUUAAUCAAAGUUGUAUGGCUCAAAAUAAAAAUAGAAACUUAAACAAAUGGAAUUCAUAUGAAAAAGACCAAUUAAUUCAUUACAAAAAAGAAAAUGAUUCUGAACUCUAUUCAUUAUCAAACCAAAAAGAUAAUUUUAAAAAAUGUUAUAGAUAUGAUCUUUUAUCAUAUAAAUCGAUUAAUUAUGAAAAUAAAAGUUACUCAUUUAUUUCUAGAUUACCCUUUCAAGUAAAUAAGAACUUCGAAAUUUCUUAUAAUUCCAACACGCCCAAACACAACCCUUUUGAUAUGCCCGACAAUCUUCAUAUCAAUAAUUAUCUAAUAAAAGGCAAUCUUCUACAUCUACAUAUAGAAAGAAAUCUCGAUAGAAAAUAUAGAAAAUAUUUUGAUUGGAAAAUUCUCCAUUUUUCUGUUAGACAAAAAGGAGAUAUUGAGGCCUGGGUUAAGAUCGAUACCAACAGUAAUCGAAAUACUAAAAUUGGUAUUAAUAAUUAUGAAAUAAUUAAUAAAAAAGGACUUUUUUAUCUUACAACUCAUCAAAAUCCAGAAAAAACUAAAAAAAAUUCGAAAAAAGACUUUUUUGAUUGGAUGGGAAUGAAUGAAAAAAUAUUUAAUCGUCCCAUAUUGGAUAUGGAAUUUUGGUUCUUCCCAGAAUUUGUACUACUUUAUAAUGUAUAUAAAAUAAAACCGUGGAUUAUACCAAGCAAAUUACUUCUUUUAAAUUUGAAUACAAAUGAAAAUGUUAUAUCAAUAAAAACAAAAAAAAAAAAACUUUUUUCUACCAUCAAAUAAAAAAAUAAAAAAUCGAAUUCAAGAAGCAAAAGAACCCGCAAGUCAAGG